rnacentral:rRNA from 1 species
UGGGGAAUAUUGCACAAUGGGCGAAAGCCUGAUGCAGCAACGCCGCGUGAGGGACGACGGCCUUCGGGUUGUAAACCUCUUUUAGCAAGGAAGAAGCGAAAGUGACGGUACUUGCAGAAAAAGCGCCGGCUAACUACGUGCCAGCAGCCGCGGUAAUACGUAGGGCGCAAGCGUUAUCCGGAAUUAUUGGGCGUAAAGAGCUCGUAGGCGGUUUGUCGCGUCUGCUGUGAAAACCCGAGGCUCAACCUCGGGCCUGCAGUGGGUACGGGCAGACUAGAGUGCGGUAGGGGAGAUUGGAACUCCUGGUGUAGCGGUGGAAUGCGCAGAUAUCAGGAAGAACACCGAUGGCGAAGGCGAGAUCUCUGGGCCAGUAAGCUGACGCUGAGGAGCGAAAGGGUGGGGAGCAAACAGGCUUAGAUACCCUGGUAGUCCACCCCGUAAACGUUGGGAACUAGUUGUGGGUCCAUUCCACGGAUUCCGUGGACGCAGCUAACGCAUUAAGUUCCCCGCCUGGGGGAGUACGGCCGCAAGGCUAAAAACUUGAAAGGAAUUGACGGGGUCAU